ACCAUUUUUGAUUCCUUCAUCUUCUUGCUACAGAAAACAAUUAAUCGAACUCGUAACAAAGAAAUCUAACCUUCCUCGAAAGGAAAUUAGGUUGAAGUUUCAUUUUAUUUUGACCUAGUUUUAUGUUCUUAAGAAAUUAGGCGAAGAAGAAAAUGGCGAAGAAGCAAGAGAAAAAGACAGAUGAAAAGAGGAAACUUAUUAGGAAAGUGGUUGUAAAAAAAAGAUCUCCAAAAGGUAAAAAAAGAGAAACAGAGUCGUAUAGAUGCUCGUUGCAUCAUUUGUGCAAAGUAGCAGCUGACAUAAAGGCGUUGAUACAGAACAAAGAACCGUAUAUGUUAGCUCUUAAAUCAUGUCCAUUCUGGCGUUUCAUUGAGCCAUUAUUUGAUGGUGUAAUGGAAGAAGAAGAGCUCGUCAAAAAGACAAAAGCAGUCAUGAUGGUUUUACAGUCACUUGAAUUCAGAAAAGAUGGUAAGCUACCAUUGUGUUUCAGGUUAGGUAAAUCGAAGAAAAUGACUCUGCAGACAAUUCCAGAACCUUUCUCUGUUAUCUUUAGUCUAUGAAUGAUGGAGGGUGUAGAAGUAGAUGAAAAAGUGGGCAUAGGUGAAAAACUGGAGAAAAAGGUUAAAAUCUUCGUCGCUCAGUAUUUUAAAGGAAGUAAAAAGACGUUCAAAGCUGAUAUUCAACGUUGCAUGAUGAAAGCCGCAGCGGAUGAAACCAAAGCAAAUGAGUUUGUAAAGUUUUUCGUCAUGUUCCUGUUAGUGUCGGUAUUCGUCCCCAACAAAGGUGGGCGAAGUCUGGAUGCCAAGUACUUGUAUAUGGUAUUUGAUAUGAACAAGGUUUGUUGGCCACAAGUGUUCCAUGAUUAUCUACUUGAGUCAAUAAUAGAUUGUGAUGGCGAUGUUGAAAACGUAGUUGGUUGCAUAAUUUACCCGCUGUAUUGUGUAGCAGAGAUGACUAUGAUUGCAAAAAGGAAGGAUGGGCUCGACAGGUAUCCGAGUUUUUCUAGAUGGAACCUUGGCAAUGUCUUCCAGCAAAUAUUGGAAAACUUCGAUGAUUUCUCCGACAAGAAAGAUUUAUACUCUGAGAAGAAUAUGCGUCGCCGCAAGGGGUCAUUCUUGCUUGAAUAUGACGAUCUAGAGACGCGUUUGGUUGAGCCCAUAGAUGAAGAUGAUAUUGUUGUUGAAGAUUCUGUUGAACCUGAAGAGCCGGUUGAAGACAAUGUUGCAGACCAUAUUGCUGAAAAUGAAGUGCCUGCACAAGUUGAAGACAACUCUUACGAGGCCAAAUACAGGUGGGCAAGAAUGGUGAUUGAAAAUCUUACAACAGUUGGAAACAAUGGACUCUCCGAAGAAGAUAAAGCAGUAUGGAAAAAUAUGACGCUGAGGUUGGGUUUCAACCAUCAUUGAAGACUUACUCCAGAAGGAAGCGUAAGAGAGUCCAAGUAGACUUGCUCCAGAAAGAAGAUGUUCGUUCGGAGCCAGAAAAGGUUUCAGAUGUUGAGGUGGUGAAAGGUGCAGCGGCGGAGGAUGAAAUGAUGCAUAUUGCCGGUAAGCAUUUACUGCAUGAAGGAACAGAACAAGAGCAUUUACUGCAUGAAGGAACAGGACAAGAGGAUGUUGAAGAAAGGGUUCAACCUAGUGAAGCAAUGAUACAAGGUUAUGUAGCUUUUCUGAUGGAACCAGAAAAGGUUUCAGUACCUGGAAAUGUUGUUGAAGAUGUUUUGAUGGAACCCGAAAGGGUUUCACUGUCUGGAGAUGCAGAAAAUCUGGCGAUGUUGUCUCUUCAUUAGAUGCAGAACCACAACAAGGAAUAGAAGAGUCUGAUAAAGAACAAGGACAAGAAGGAGCAUAAAUAGAAGAGGUUUCGGAGUUGACUCCAAACACUAUCGAGGAAAUCAAGGUGGCCGAGCAGGUUGAAUUUGAAAUGAAGAAAUCUUCAUCAAAACCGGAGGACGAGAGUGAACAAUUAACUCCGAAUACUCUUGAAGAAAUCAAGGUGGACGAGCAGGUCGAAUCCGAGUCCAAGAAAUGUUCAUCAAAGCCAGGGAAUGAACAAGAAGAGGGUAUGGAGUUGACUCCAAAUACUAUUGAGGAUAUCAAGGUGGCCGAACAGGUCGAAUAUGAGGCGAAGAAAUGUUCUUCUUUGAAGCAAAAUAUUGAACAAGAAGACAAUGAAACUCGGUUUAUAUAUGAUGAGGACAGUGAGGAUGCUAUUCGGAAAAUGGAAUCCGUUUAUGCAAAGGAAGGUUGUUCGUCAAAGACAAAGGUGCAAAGUGUAUACUACUACUCAACUGUAAGAAUGGUAGAGGAUGUAGCUGAUAUAGAAGACGGUGAACCUGCAUUCAGUUUAGGACUGAUGCAGAGUGACAGUGAAAAACAAGAUGUUGAAAAAGGAUCUCCAAACAUCAUUCCCAAGAAAAAGUUGAGUAAUAUGAUUACAAGACUAAAGGAUGACAGAAGAAAAAUGCAAGAACCAGUCAAAUAUCGGGAUUAUAUAACUGAGAAAAUGAAAAGAAGAAAAACUAAAUGCGAUUGGAGAAAAGAUCCUAAUGAAAAGAAUAAAGCAGAAGGCGAAGAAUGAGGAGGUGUAUAAGGUGAAGGAUGUGAAGUUGAAAGCAGUUGAAAAUUUGAAAAUUAUGAAGGUACUCGAUGAAAGUCAGAGACCCCUUGUGAGCAGGUUUUUCAGAAGCAAAACUGAAAGCUACACGGCGUGGGAGAACAAGGAGCACCAACUGAUAAUAUCUGGGAGGAUGCUGGAUUUGUUGAUGAGAAAGGGAGACGUCGGAGGAGACAUCAUUGAGUUUUACAUCUUGAAAUUGCAAAAGAACAUCCUCAAAGAAGAGUUGAAACCAGAUGGUAAUCCGAAGUACAAGAAAGCUGUGUUUCUAAGCACAUUUGCCUAUACAUGUCACUCACUAGAAUGAGAUGUGGUAGUGCAAUUGAAGCGUUCAUCGACAAAAUGGACUACAGUGUAUAAUUUUUAUUCGUUCCGUUGCUGACAACAGUUGGAGAUGGGGUAGACCAUUGGACACUGCUAGAUUUUGAUACUGAAACCGCAGAAUUUUCUCACUACAACUCCUUGGCUUCCAUUGAAGAAGAAUGCAGGAAAAGUGAUGAAAGCAUGAGACAAAGAAUAAUAUCAGCAUUUGCACAGCACGAUGCAAAGCUCCCCCGUGACGAGCAGACAACUCAGCCCCCGCCAUACACUAUGCACACGCCAUCAUGUUGUCAACAAAUGGGGAAUGAUUGUGGUCUUCAUGUUUGUUAUUACAUGAAGAUCCUCUUGAAGGAAAACAUGGCGUCGUCUCCUGGAGAUGAUAUUUCACUAAAGGUGCAUGAGAUGAGACCAAAGAUGGUGUGUAAGAUCCUCCUUGAUGCAUGAAGAGUCUCAUGGGGAGAAUAUUUCAGAAAGGGUAGAAAGCAUGAGAGCAAAGUUACGUAUACUGUCAACUAUUUAUAAAUUUG